UCCCGGUUAGCUCAGUUGGUAGAGCAUCAGACUUUUAAUCUGAGGGCCAUGGGUUCGAGUCCCAUAUCGGGCU
rnacentral:tRNA from 1 species